CUUCCUUUCAGUCCCGCCGGAAACCGGAACCUGAACUUGAAGUUCCUGUACCGCGGUGCGCGCUGUGCUGCCGGCCCACGCUACAAGACAGGUAAGUCAAGCUUCACAUUCACUCCAUAAAACGCACAGACAUUUCCCCUCACUUUUGAGGGGAAAAAAGUGCGUCUUAUGGAGCAAAAAAUACGGUAAUUUUUAUCCUCAAAACAAGUCUGAAUCUAAAUCCCUUUAAAUAUUAACUGGGGACCAGUAUUUUACUGCAGUAUGUGACCUCUAAGUACCUGCUUGUUGCAAAAAAAACAACAAACAACUAAUUUAAUGUGUUUCUUUUGCGCAAAACACUAUGCAAUGUUUCCCUUUAUUUUGCAUGCAAGUCCACAUAAGACUGUGAUCUCCUCAAAACAAAUGUAUUCAUGUAAUCACAAAUAUUAUUUGUUAUUUAUGUGUUGUAAUAUAACUGUUGUUGUGUUUUGCUCUAGAACAAGUGAACAUGCUGACAUGUCUUAAAUCAUGUUAGCUAUCCUACUGUAAAUCCAAAGCAAACAUAAUCUACCUUCCCUCCCUUACCUACACCAUAUCCAAUAUCUGUGCUGCUCCUAUAUUGUUGUCAUGAUAUAUUUUAUUUUAUUUCUUUUUAUUAGAAAAAAGUAACUUAAAGCCUUCAAGUCAUUUUUGAAGAUGUAAAUUGUAGAACUUAUUUAUUAAGGAUGCCAUAUGUUUUAAUUUAUUAUAUACACAAUGUUUAGUAUUUUUCCUUAAUACAUUUGUUUUAACAAUCAUUCUAGUUUUUC